UUUUAUGGAGAGUUUGAUCCUGGCUCAGGAUGAACGCUGGCGGCGUGCCUAAUACAUGCAAGUCGAGCGAACGGACGAGAAGCUUGCUUCUCUGAUGUUAGCGGCGGACGGGUGAGUAACACGUGGAUAACCUACCUAUAAGACUGGGAUAACUUCGGGAAACCGGAGCUAAUACCGGAUAAUAUUUUGAACCGCAUGGUUCAAAAGUAAAAGACGGUCUUGCUGUCACUUAUAGAUGGAUCCGCGCUGCAUUAGCUAGUUGGUAAGGUAACGGCUUACCAAGGCAACGAUGCAUAGCCGACCUGAGAGGGUGAUCGGCCACACUGGAACUGAGACACGGUCCAGACUCCUACGGGAGGCAGCAGUAGGGAAUCUUCCGCAAUGGGCGAAAGCCUGACGGAGCAACGCCGCGUGAGUGAUGAAGGUCUUCGGAU
rnacentral:rRNA from 1 species